rnacentral:misc_RNA from 1 species
CACCUCAUAUGCACGCGGCUAUACACAUUGAACAUACAUUAGAACGUGUACGGGAUGCCCGUCUCUCGCACCGCUGGCCGCUGCGUCGCCGUGCAGCGGCGAUUCUUGGGGCUGUCUGCACUGUCUCCCUCCAACAGCAACUCAGCGCUCGCCCACUCUGCUCGAUUCACGUGCACUGCCGAGGCGGAUCGAGAUCAAGCUUUCUCAGGCUUGCCGACAGACGUGUGUGCGGACACAUCCUUCGAGAGGUUCCGGGGGCCGGACAGCGGCAGCGGCAGAGGCAACCGUUGCAACAAUAGCCCAAAGCGAGGCAGAGGGACUGCGGCCGGGCUGGGACGCUCUCAAGGGAGCUCCAAGGUGCAUGUCUUCUCCAGGCCAGCACAGCAACUCAGCGCCGCGCAACUGGCCCACUUUACUCAUUUGCGAGGGCUGCUACGACGUCUGUCCAGCCUUCGGCAAGCAUCAAGCAAUGCCGUGGAGGCAGCCUCCAGGGCUGCUGCAGCGCACCACCUGCUCUCUCGAGAAGGGGAAAGUGGCUCAAAGUCGCCUCAAACUCGGACCUCGACGGCGCCAGUGGACUCGCUUUAUAGCGAGCUGUUCGUCGUGAGUCGCGUAGUCGCUUCUCCUCACCAUCACGCGCUUUCUGCGGAGAGUGGCGCCGCCGCCUGCGGUGACGAAGUCUUCACAGGGGUCAACCAUGCAUUUCACAAGCGCAUCAACCCCGCCGGGGCGACGCUGCGCGGAAUCUUGAAGGGGUGUGCGGAGCAGAACGCGCUCGGCGCUGCGGCCGCCAGCGGCUGUAUCUACGCCGACGUGGCAGACGUGUUUCUCCUGGCUGCUCGCUGUUCGCCUAUGACGUCUUACCACGCACUGGAGUCGGGCGAAAAGGCUGCUGCGCAGGCAUCAGCCACAUGCAGCUCUUGUGCAACAGCCUGUAGCGAUGCCGGCCCGGCCGCUGCGCAGGCCGUCGCCAUCUUUCCCUGCCCGGAGUGCUGGAAUCAUUUAUGCCACGUGGCGCGUGCGCGUCUUCAAGAAGAGCGUACGCCACUGCGCUUGUUCGUCUACGCUGCCUCGCCGGCUGUCACGGUGCACCUCUUCGCUGUAGCGCAGCAGCGCGUAAAGAUGAUGGAGGCGCCUGUGGACGUCUGCAUUGUGUCGAGCUAGCCGCCGCUGCCCGCUUGUUCUUUCGCCCUCCCCUUUUCAUUGUUGUCUCUGUGUUUGGGUGUGACACAUGGCGCAACGGUCUCCUUUGGCGAUCACAUGGCGCUUGCUCUUCACAUUUUAACGUCGACAUGGAGUUUGUGAAGGAUAUUGCCGAGUCGGAUGCGACGCAGCAACUUG